UAGGGAAUAUUGGGCAAUGGACGCAAGUCUGACCCAGCCAUGCCGCGUGCAGGAAGACGGCCCUCUGGGUUGUAAACUGCUUUUAUCAGGGAAGAAACCCUUCUACGUGUAGGAGGCUGACGGUACCUGAGGAAUAAGGAUCGGCUAACUCCGUGCCAGCAGCCGCGGUAAUACGGAGGAUCCAAGCGUUGUCCGGAUUUAUUGGGUUUAAAGGGUGCGUAGGCGGACUUAUAAGUCAGAGGUGAAAGCCGGUAGCUUAACUAUCGAAUUGCCUUUGAAACUGCAAGUCUUGAAUUUUGUUGAGGUAGGCGGAAUGUAUCAUGUAGCGGUGAAAUGCAUAGAUAUGAUACAGAACACCGAUUGCGAAGGCAGCUUACUAAGCAAAUAUUGACGCUGAGGCACGAAAGCGUGGGGAUCAAACAGG
rnacentral:rRNA from 1 species